CGAGCGCUGGGACUUAGGGGACCGCGGCUUGGAACUCGGGACGGCUGCAAGCCUGCUCAGGCCGCUUGCCUUCCUCCAUCGCCUUCUUUCGCUGUGCGCGGACCACACGGUGGGACUGUAGCGGCGAAAGCGACUGAGGUCUGGGCGCAGUUAUCUGUAACCUCUUGGCGACCCUGACAAGCAGACGCGUUAUUACAAGAUAUUGAAUAUAGUUCCCUGUUCUAUACAGGGAACACAAGUAAGAAUGGAGGGUGCUCUUCCUCCCGCCCCACCCCGAAGGUAACAAAGGAUCAAGGCUUUCUCCGUGAAAUAGCUGCAGAAUGUACACUGAGCCUGCUGGCAUUUCCCUUAGAGUUUUACUGGCUCAGCUCAAGAACCACCUCCUCCAAGUUGUCUUCCUGGAUUUACUCAGCCUAAAGUAAUCCUUUUUCCUAGAUAUAUACUGAGCAUAUGCUUUGUGUCAGAUAUUGUUAUAGAUGCUGAGGCUUCAUCUGUGAACAAGACCGACCAAGUCUCUGACCUCAUGGAGCUUAUUUCAUAUGUGGGCAACAGAUAAUAAACCUGACUGUGAACACCAAACCAGCUCUCCAACCUGACAGACAGCGCUUGUUUUAUCUAAGGAAAGGGGACAGGACGGGCAGUGCUCACCUGUUUGACAGGAUCCCUGAAGACUUCAUUAUGGAUUUUGUCUCUGGGAACACGGACGACUACACCUCUUCACGGGAAUUCUCGGAUCCUUGAAACAACACUUUAAGGGCUCAGCAGAAUGGACAUAGAAACAGCAGUGGUCGAUGAUUGCAUUGAUCCAAAUUUGGAAGCUGUGUGGCAGUCUGCGAAAAACGGAAUCCUGCCAACAACCAUGUGACUGAACUUGGAAGCAGAUCCUUCCCAGUAGAGCCUUCGGAUGAGGUGGUGUCCCUGGCCAGCGCCUUGAUUGCGGGCUUGCGAGAAGCCCUGAAGCAGAAGACCCAGCUAAGCCACGCCUGGAUUCCUGAAAACCAGACUGCUCUCUGCCAGGAUCUCUAGAGCCUCACAUUGGUCAAUGACCCUGAAGAGGGCAGAGUCCAGCCUCAGGCCUCUAACCCACCCUCUUCCUGGGAAGAAAAUGCCUCUGCUCCGAAGGCAGCCAGCACAUAUUUUACUCACAACAAUCGGCAGAUGGCUGUGGAUCCCUUCUGUUCCCAGGAAUCACAUCGGAACUAACCGCGCUGUGCAUUUUCCAUCACUGGUAGCUAUCCCAACGGUGACGUGGGGCAUCGUUAUUAAUAGGUGAAGGACAAAGAGAGAGGGGAAGUGGCUUGGGCUGAGUCACACAGCAAAGUUAGAACUCCGAUCUCCCAGCAACUAACGUCGCCCUGGGCUCUGUCCCACACACCUGGCAGCUCCAGAGACUUGCUCCUUUUUGUACUCUGGGUAACGAACUCUCUAGCUAACCAAGCGGGUCUGACUUGUCUUACAGAGAAAUGAAGCAAAAUCUUCUUUGGGAUGGUAUAUUUUGAUCUUUCUGUUUCUAAUGGUUGGCAGGAAACCGAGUCCCCACUACUUACUGAAUGACCUGGAACACAUCAUCGAAAGUUUCUGGACCCUCAGUUUUCCCUUCAGUAAAAUGUAGACAAGAUUUAUUGGUGCCUACCCCCAGAGAAACUGGAUGAGCUAGGGAGAGGAGUGGGGUGCCCUUAUCCAAUCUAUUCUGCAUUACCCUUUACACGGGUGAACUUCAAACCUGGCUGAGCAUGAUAAUCACAUGGGUGGCCUUUAAAAAUACAAAUUCCUGGGCCUUGCCCAGCCUGGCUUACUUGGAUUUCUUCUCCUUUCUCCCGGCCAAGUGGCCCCCAGGGUGAAGGGAACCCCCUUGAUUUGAGCAGCGGGGUGGUCUUUAACUUUUCUAUGUAAAUCCUCUCCAACUCAGCUUAAAGGAACCUUUGCUACGAGAUGGGAAGCAUUGCGUUCUGUCUCCUUUGAGCUCUCCCUUGGACUCUCUGUUCCCCCAAUUUUGGCACUUCUCACAUACUGCUUGUUAUUUUUACUUAACUGUUUCAAAUCUUUGCCUCUUGUUUCCUCAGUUAGCUACUGGAGGGUAAAAACCAUGACCUACCCUUCUCUUAUUGCCCCGCAAAUGCCAGCUCCAUUAGCACCUAGUAUCUCUUCAAUAAAUAUUUGUUGA